rnacentral:misc_RNA from 1 species
GAAAUGCGAUACGUAAUGUGAAUUGCAGAAUUCCGUGAAUCAUCGAAUCUUUGAACGCACAUUGCACUCUAUUUCGGUAGAGUAUGCCUGUUUGAGAAUCUAUAGUAUUUAUUUUGCCUUUAUGCUUUUUACAAAGCGUAAAGACCAAAGAUGUGCAAAUUGAUCCUGUAUCUUUUGCGAAAACUAUAGCUGAACUGAGCUAAGAGUGUUUGACUCUUUGCAAAGCAUCAGAAACGUAUUUGAAUGAGAUUUAUCUCUUAUAAUGCUGAUUAUGAUGCAGUAAAGAUUAGCUCAAAGUUACUUUGCAGUUUAUAACCAUUAAAGCCGUAAAACAGCUUGAACCAUGGUCUCAAAUCAGGUAGGAAUACCCGCUGAACUUAA